rnacentral:piRNA from 1 species
UACAACUGCCCCAAGUUUUGUGUGUGUGU